UUGCAGCGCUCACUCCAGCAGCACUAAAAUUGGAACAAUACAGAGAAGAUUAGCAUCACCCCUGCACAAGGAUGAUGCACAAAUUCGUGAAGGGUUCCAUAUUUUU
ensembl:snRNA U6 U6 spliceosomal RNA